ensembl:lncRNA
AUGAACCCACUCUUUUUCGUGGGAGCGCUGAGUAAGGGAUUAAAAGCUAUGGUGUUACUCGCAACCUACUGGCCAAUCAUCAAUAUCAUAAUUACUUGUUGUGGAAUUGUGUUCAUAUAUAACCACAUAAGGGCACUGAUGGAGACGCCUGUAUGGUACCUAUAUUGGUACCUAUAUGCAAUGUGGUAUAAUAUGAAUUUUGCCAUUUGCAUCCCAGAUGGAAUGGCUAAUUUUACAAGCAACUACAUCCCAAAUGGCAUAGCUAAUUUUACAAACCACACGAUGUUCAAACCAGUUUCCAGGCUUUCCUCUCGGUUUAUCAGACGUUUUCCCAAUACUGAGUUAAUUCUCAUGUUUGUGGGCGUAGCCCUGUUCAUAUCACUCUCCCUGAAUGUAUUCCAAUACAGGAGUAGUAAGCAGGAGUCUCCUCCAAAACCAGAGAAUGCUGACUGGCAGGGAAUAUGGAGAGGUUUAGGAAAAAUCUUAGAAGCAUGGGAUUUCACUCUUGAACACCUGUGGGAUCCCAAGAAACUUAGCCAGUAUUUGAGUCAGGGACAGUGCGGCUUACAUAAAUCUAAGGAGGUACAACUUAUUUGGGGUUUGGCUUGUGCUUACCGUGCCCUAUAUAAUACUGUUCUGGAGAGAGAGAGUUUCCGAGCUGAGGUUCAAGCCAAAGGGGAGAAUCUCCAAGUCAAAUCUGAUCAAAUACAGGAGACACCAGUAACAAUAUCAGUUGCCCCUGUGGAGGGCAAGAAAUGGAAACGAGAGUCCUCGCGUCUAGAACGGAAAAAAGAGGAGGAGGAGGUGGAGGAAGAUCCAGGUGAGGGGCCCUCCUCGGAACCACCAACAUUAAGAAAAGCAAAAGGAAAAACUAAGAGACAUGCAGAGGAGAGUGAUGAAGAGGAAGUCUCUAUUACUACUUGUCGGCCUCUGAAGAUGACUGAAAUCCAAGGCUCAAGAAAGGAAUUUACACAGCGUCCAAAUGAAACUCUCGUUUCCUGGUUAGUUCGCUGUUGGGACAGUGGGGCCAGUAGCUUGUCUUUAGAUGGUAAUGAAACUCGCCAACUAGGAGCUAUUGCCAGAGAUCCAGCUAUUGACAGAGGAAUUAGUCGAUGUCUGGAAGGGGCUGCCUCCAUCUGGGAACGAGUAUUAAUAGCCGUGAAGGAAAGGUACCCCUUCAAAGACGGCUUGAAGCCUGUGACGAAAAGGUGGGAUACAGUUGAAAAGGGUAUCCAGUAUUUGAGGGAAACAGCCGUGGUGGAAAUGUUGUAUGACCCUAACUGUGUUUUUAACGACCCACGCCAAGACCACGACCCUGAGAAAGUGAGGACGAUGCCUGAAAUAUGGCAGAAACUCACAACAGCACCAGACAGAUACACCACUACACUAAUGGCAACGUUUGACAGAUACCAGGAUCAACAGAGAAGACCCUUAGUUUUUGAAUUCACAGAAUCACAGAAUCACAGAAUCGUAGGGGUUGGAAGGGACCUCCAGAGAUCAUCAAGUCCAACCCCCCUGCCAAAGCAGGAUCCCUACACCAGGUCACACAGGUAG